UUUGAAAUCUGGUCCCCUCGCGGGGCCCGAGUUGUAAUUUGCAGAGGAUGCUUUUGGCGAGGCGCCUUCCGAGUUCCCUGGAACGGGACGCCAUAGAGGGUGAGAGCCCCGUCUGGUCGGACGCCUAGCCUCUGUAAAGCUCCUUCGACGAGUCGAGUAGUUUGGGAAUGCUGCUCAAAAUGGGAGGUAUAUGUCUUCUAAAGCUAAAUACCGGCCAGAGACCGAUAGCGCACAAGUAGAGUGAUCGAAAGAUGAAAAGCACUUUGAAAAGAGGGUUAAACAGUACGUGAAAUUGUUGAAAGGGAAGCGCUUGUGACCAGACUUGAGCGCGGCGGAUCAUCCGGCGUUCUCGCCGGUGCACUCCGCCGUGCCCAGGCCAGCAUCGGUUCGCGGCGGGGGAUAAAGGCGUCGGGAACGUGGCUCCCCUCGGGGAGUGUUAUAGCCCGUCGCGCAAUGCCCCGCCUGCGGACCGAGGUACGCGCUCCGCAAGGAUGCUGGCGUAAUGGUCACCAGCGACCCGUCUUGAAACACGGACCAAGGAGUCGUCUUCGUAUGCGAGUGUUCGGGUGUCAAACCCCUACGCGUAAUGAAAGUGAACGCAGGUGAGAGCUUCGGCGCAUCAUCGACCGAUCCUGAUGUUCUCGGAUGGAUUUGAGUAAGAGCAUACGGGGCCGGACCCGAAAGAAGGUGAACUAUGCCUGUAUAGGGUGAAGCCAGAGGAAACUCUGGUGGAGGCUCGCAGCGGUUCUGACGUGCAAAUCGAUCGUCAAAUAUGGGCAUGGGGGCGAAAGACUAAUCGAACCUUCUAGUAGCUGGUUUCCGCCGAAGUUUCCCUCAGGAUAGCAGUGUUGAACUCAGUUUUAUGAGGUAAAGCGAAUGAUUAGGGACCCGGGGGCGCUCUUUAGCCUUCAUCCAUUCUCAAACUUUAAAUAUGUAAGAAGCCCUUGUUACUUAAUUGAACGUGGGCAUUCGAAUGUAUCAACACUAGUGGGCCAUUUUUGGUAAGCAGAACGGGCGAUGCGGGAUGAACCGAACGCGAGGUUAAGGUGCCGGAGUGGACGCUCAUCAGACACCACAAAAGGCGUUAGUACAUCUUGACAGCAGGACGGUGGCCAUGGAAGUCGGAAUCCGCUAAGGACUGUGUAACAACUCACCUGCCGAAUGUACUAGCCCUGAAAAUGGAUGGCGCUCAAGCGUCCCACCCAUACCUCGCCCUCGGGGUAGAAACGAAGCCCCGAGGAGUAGGCGGACGUGGAGGUCAGUGACGAAGCCUA
rnacentral:rRNA from 1 species